rnacentral:rRNA from 1 species
UGCAGUCGAACGAUGAAAGCGGGAGCUUGCUCCUGCUGGAUUAGUGGCGAACGGGUGAGUAACACGUGAGUAACCUGCCCUUGACUCUGGGAUAAGCGUUGGAAACGACGUCUAAUACCGGAUACGACCUUCGGAGGCAUCUCCUGGGGGUGGAAAGAAUUUUGGUCAAGGAUGGACUCGCGGCCUAUCAGCUAGUUGGUGAGGUAAUGGCUCACCAAGGCGACGACGGGUAGCCGGCCUGAGAGGGUGACCGGCCACACUGGGACUGAGACACGGCCCAGACUCCUACGGGAGGCAGCAGUGGGGAAUAUUGCACAAUGGGCGAAAGCCUGAUGCAGCAACGCCGCGUGAGGGACGACGGCCUUCGGGUUGUAAACCUCUUUUAGUAGGGAAGAAGCGAAAGUGACGGUACCUGCAGAAAAAGCACCGGCUAACUACGUGCCAGCAGCCGCGGUAAUACGUAGGGUGCAAGCGUUAUCCGGAAUUAUUGGGCGUAAAGAGCUCGUAGGCGGUUUGUCACGUCUGCUGUGAAAACUGGAGGCUCAACCUCCAGCCUGCAGUGGGUACGGGCAGACUAGAGUGCGGUAGGGGAGAUUGGAAUUCCUGGUGUAGCGGUGGAAUGCGCAGAUAUCAGGAGGAACACCGAUGGCGAAGGCAGAUCUCUGGGCCGUAACUGACGCUGAGGAGCGAAAGCAUGGGGAGCGAACAGGAUUAGAUACCCUGGUAGUCCAUGCCGUAAACGUUGGGAACUAGAUGUAGGGGCCAUUCCACGGCUUCUGUGUCGCAGCUAACGCAUUAAGUUCCCCGCCUGGGGAGUACGGCCGCAAGGCUAAAACUCAAAGGAAUUGACGGGGGCCCGCACAAGCGGCGGAGCAUGCGGAUUAAUUCGAUGCAACGCGAAGAACCUUACCAAGGCUUGACAUAUACCGGAAAAGUUCAGAAAUGUUCUCCCCGCAAGGUCGGUAUACAGGUGGUGCAUGGUUGUCGUCAGCUCGUGUCGUGAGAUGUUGGGUUAAGUCCCGCAACGAGCGCAACCCUCGUUCUAUGUU